rnacentral:lncRNA from 1 species
AAUCGAAAAGAUUUAGAAAAUACUUAUCUUCGAAAUGGUCUUUAAUUUUAAAAUGCAGACCAUUAAAUGCCAUUUUGGCAAAUUCUGACUCUGGCAUUCUCACAAAGCAGCGGCUUCUAGCCGUCUUGAACCUAUUCAAAUAUUCUUCAACCGAUUCGCCAGUUCUCUGCUUGAAUUGAGCCAAGUCGGCAACCGAUAAUUCUGGUUCGGUUCUAUAAAAUUGUUCAUGAAAUUUUCCUUCUAAUUCGUCCCAAUCCCGGACGGAAUUAGCCGGCAAACUUAUAUACCAAAUGAAAGCCGUCUUGGUUAAUGA